rnacentral:rRNA from 1 species
CCUACGGGAGACAGCAGUGAGGAAUAUUGGUCAAUGGGCGUGAGCCUGAACCAGCCAAGUAGCGUGAAGGAUGAAGGCUCUACGGGUUGUAAACUUCUUUUAUAAAGGAAUAAAGUGAGGCACGUGUGCCUUUUUGCAUGUACCUUAUGAAUAAGCAUCGGCUAACUCCGUGCCAGCAGCCGCGGUAAUACGGAGGAUCCGAGCGUUAUCCGGAUUUAUUGGGUUUAAAGGGUGCGUAGGUUGGUUUGUAAGUCAGCUGUGAAAGUUUGCGGCUCAACCGUAAAAUUGCAGUUGAAACUGGCAGUCUUGAGUACGGUUGAGGUAGGCGGAAUGCGUGGUGUAGCGGUGAAAUGCUUAGAUAUCACGAAGAACUCCGAUUGCGAAGGCAGCUUACUAAGCCACCACUGACAUUGAUGCACGAAAGCGUGGGUAUCAAACAGGAUUAGAUACCCGGGUAGUC